UACGGAGGGAGCUAGCGUUGUUCGGAAUUACUGGGCGUAAAGCGCGCGUAGGCGGCUUUGUAAGUUAGAGGUGAAAGCCCGGGGCUCAACCCCGGAACUGCCUUUAAAACUGCAUCGCUUGAAUCCAGGAGAGGUGAGUGGAAUUCCGAGUGUAGAGGUGAAAUUCGUAGAUGUUCGGAAGAACACCAGUGGCGAAGGCGGCUCACUGGACUGGUAUUGACGCUGAGGUGCGAAAGCGUGGGGAGCAAACAGG
rnacentral:rRNA from 1 species